ACCGAUUUUAACAUAAAACACAUAGAACCGCGGGAAGGAAAACGAUGGAGGAAGACGGAGGAGAACAAACUCAGCCGCCGCAUCCGGUGACCUCCGAAACCUCAAUCUCCGACCCGAACCUAAAUCCACCGUCCACGUGUCCCGAUACCUCACUCGAUCCUACGCACUCCGACGGCUCCGACUCAGACCCGCCGUCCACGUGUCCCGAUACCGCACUCGAUCCUACGCACUCCAACGGCUCCGACUCAAACCCACCGUCCACGUGUCCCGAUACCGCACUCGAUCGUACACACUCCGACGGCUCCGACUCAAACCCGCCGCUGAACCAGACCGAGCUGUUCCGAGCUCUCGAAGUCGUCGAGAGAGACUCCGUCGCCAUCGCCGGAAGCUUCACCUCCCUGUUCUCCUCCCUCCGCCUCGCUC
rnacentral:lncRNA from 1 species